UACGUAGGGUGCAAGCGUUGUCCGGAAUUAUUGGGCGUAAAGAGCUCGUAGGCGGUCUGUCGCGUCGAAUGUGAAAACUCAGGGCUUAACCCUGAGCCUGCUUCCGAUACGGGCAGACUAGAGGUAUGCAGGGGGAGAACGGAAUUCCUGGUGUAGCGGUGAAAUGCGCAGAUAUCAGGAGGAACACCGGUGGCGAAGGCGGGUCUCUGGGCCGAUACUGACGCUGAGGAGCGAAAGCGUGGGGAGCGAACAGG
rnacentral:rRNA from 1 species